rnacentral:rRNA from 1 species
UGGGGAAUAUUGCGCAAUGGGCGAAAGCCUGACGCAGCUACGCCGCGUGGGUGAUGAAGGCCUUCGGGUUGUAAAGCCCUGUCGUAGGGGAAGAAACAAAUGACGGUACCCUACAAGAAAGCGCCGGCUAACUCCGUGCCAGCAGCCGCGGUAAUACGGAGGGCGCAAGCGUUGCUCGGAAUCACUGGGCGUAAAGCGUACGCAGGCGGACCGUUAAGUCGGGUGUGAAAGCCCAGGGCUCAACCCUGGAAUUGCAUUCGAAACUGGCGGCCUUGAGUACGGGAGAGGGAAGCGGAAUUCCUGGUGUAGAGGUGAAAUUCGUAGAUAUCAGGAGGAACAUCAGUGGCGAAAGCGGCUUCCUGGCCCGAUACUGACGCUCAUGUACGAAAGCGUGGGGAGCAAACAGG